CUCUAAACCCUAAUGUCUACACUAAUUUACUAUAAUGGUAUAAACAUUUAUUUAUUUCUUUUGAUAAAAUAUUAAAUGCUAUUUUUGUGACUUUUGAACUUGAGUGCUAGUGUUGGAACAAAAACUUGAUUUAAUGCUAUUUUUGUCCUUUUCUCUUUAUAAUUGAACCAAAUUAAAUUUGUAAUUUCAACCCAUGUAGGCUUUUAACCUGUUAGAUUUAGUAAGUCAAAUAAUGUAAUGUGUAUGUGUGCGGCAUCGUUAUACCUUUUAGCCUGUUAGAUUCUCUGGUAAGUAGGCUGAGAAAGUGAGAAUCUCUCUGUACUUUUAUGUCAUUAUGGGAAAUAAUGCAUUUCACUUUUAUUUGGUAAUCGGAGGGUUAUGUAUCAAACAAAUUUGUAUAUGUCUUGCUUCGUCGGAGAUGAGUGAAGUCCCUCAAACAAAAUUCAAAUAUAUGAUAUCAUCUUGUUACUAUCUAGUUAACAAAAAAUGUGAAAGUCUUAGUUAUACAUUAUGAGAGAGUACUAUAAUUAUUUUGAGGGUGGAUCAUUGUUUUUGUCCAAUGGAUCGCUCGUGUUAUUCAACUAAUGAUUUCUAAAUAUCUUCUCAAAUCAUUGCCUGCCUCUGCAAGAGUUGCAUAAUCAAAAGUUGGACUUGGACAAGUGAGGACUUUAACCAAAAUUAGAGUUAAGAAUUAUCUCAAAUCAACUAAACUAUUCUGAAGGUUAAAAAAAAUCUUAUCAAAUCAUCACUUAUUUUUUCCGUUUUUUUUAGAAUCAUACCAACAUCAGCUAUAUUUACUCAAACUCUCUUUAAAUCCCACAAUAUCUAAAAUCCAUCAAACCAUUCUUAAAUCAUUAGUUCAAUACACCCUCCUAAAUGAUGAGUGAUUUACACUCAGAGGCAGUUAACAAUUUUUUAUAACAUUCUAGGACAGUUUGUGCUAUUUGGGUAGUUUUUAUGUGAAAAGACUCAAUUUGCCCUCUAUAAAACGUAACCAGUUGAUUGUGUUUUAGUUAGGUGGGUUUUAUUUGGUUUGUCUUUUGAAAUUUGAAAAUCAGUGGUGGACCCGAGGAGAGAUACAAAUCAGAUCUAAUUAUCUGAACGUGUAAAAACUAUACUUUCUUUUACUUUUUCGUAACUUUUACAGAGGAAAGAAAGAGAAACCCAAAGGUCGACGAAGAAGACGAGAUAUGGCGGCAAAUUCUUGCGAAAAAAAUUGUGAGAUAGUUGUUCCGAGAAAGAUGUCAGAGCCGGAGCCGGAGCCGUCAUGAGAAACAAAAGGACGGCGAAACGGUGGAAAAUGAACGAGCGGCAGCAAACUCUAUUCUUAAAGGAGUAUGCUUCUUAGGACUACACAAUUGGAGCAGAGAACGAACGACGAUUUUACUGAGAGAACGGUGGCAAAAUCUAUUCCGGAAGAGAUGUCAACGAGACGAAGGCGACAUGAAAAGGAGAAAGUCCAUGGUAAGAUAUAAGAACAUUGAGAGAAUGAAGGUUAUUGGUCAACAUUCUCUUCUUGGUGUCUGAGAAAGCAGUGAUUUUCAUAGAUUCAUUAUUAGCCUGAUGAGCUCCUGUAAGAAUCCGUUUUGAUUCAGAUUUUUCUUUUCUUAAUUUUUUCUUUUGUUUAAAAAAAUAUCUUACUUUGAUUCUAUUUAUUUUGGUUUCUCUUCUUUUUGUAUCAGAUCUGGCGAGAAGGCUCUAAUAUUUGAUAGAUGAAGGGGAAUGUGGGCAAACAAGCUCUAAUAUUUGACAGAUGAAACAAAAGAGGGAUAAAAAAAGUAGUUCAACGUUGUCCAUAUGUACGCUCUAUGGUAUGCCCCCAUUUACAGUCAUUAAUCCAUAGACCAUAUGUACAAUAUUAAAACAAUGUCCAUGUGUACCAAUUUGUCCCCAUGUACACUUAUUAAGCCAUAGUCUAUACGUACACUAUUAAAACAUUGUUCAUUGUCCAUAAUCACCUUAUUUUUUGUGAUCACAUAAAAUGGAAAACAACAAAAGUGUUUAAA